UUCUUGAUCAAAGGGACCAUCAUUCUGAGACCUUGGAGUCUCCUGUUGGUCCUGAACAGAAUGCCCAACUCUAUUGGAAGUAAAACGAAUCCUAGAGGGGCUGUUUGAUGGACUAGAUCCAAAUGAUCUGAGAUGGUAAAAUUUAUGUCUAGCACUAACACUACAUGAUUCUAAAUCAGAAGUAUCAUGACAACAAUCACUUGAUGGGCUAACAGAUUGAUUCGUGAAGUCCCCUCCUUCAUCUUCAUCACUCCUGCUAGGCGAGUGACGCAGAGACACCGGAGAUGGAUGACUUGAAAAGGCUGUAAAACUACUCUUACUUGCAUCAUGGGUAGAAUAACCAUCAAACAUGUCACUACUGAAAUUUGGUGACGGCGGUUCUGGGCUUUCCCUUGGAGAUUCAGAAGGAUAAACUUUGUCACAAAACUUCCUUGUGCUUCUAUGACAAUUGCUUAGAUCAGAACAAAAUUUGCACACCUUGAUAUCAACCACAGACCUCACCGUGUUUUUGGAUUCUCCUGAUCCGGAUGAAAAAACAUCCGAAGAUCCAAAAAUGUGCACAACACAAUCCCUGCAAAACACUCGACUACAACUUAAGCAGUGGAACUUGAGGCAAGAAUCAGUAAACUCCAUCUUGCAUUCAUAACAGGUUUUGCAACUUUCAACAUCCAUAUCGCUUCCGCCAACCAAUGAAGUUCGAUCACUUUUACCCCACUUUAUCCAAGCCCUAACUUUCUCUAUCAAAUCCAGUAGAGAACUAUCUGGCACUCCCAUAGACCAGCAGUCAAACCACCAAGUUUUGCCUCAAUAACAUAAGUCAAUCAACUCUUAAUACUUCUCCUAAUCUAAAGUUUGUGUAAUCUGAUUUCUUGGUGUUAAAAGAAGAAACUCUAUCAAAACUAUAACCCACAAUAAAAAUGGUGGAUUCAAAGUUAUAUUUAAUGUAUUUUUUUUCUUUAAAAAUGAAAAAGGUUCCUCAUAAAGAACAAGAGAAACAAACAAACAGUAAGACUUCCCCUCAGAAAUCCCUAAAUAUCCAGAAGGGAAAAACAAAUUACAACAAUUUACUUCACACUGAAUUUGAUAUAUAUACAACCAAAAAAAGCUUGAAACUUGUGACAACAGAAAGACUGAGACUUUUUGACCAAUAAAUUGACUCAAAACCUAAAAACCCAACUCAACCAAUCCCAGAAUCAUCAAGAUUUGAUCCCAAAAUCAAUUUUUUCAUAACAAUCAAGAUCAGAUCCAGAGCUCAGAACCAAACAACAACUGAAACACACUCUUGUCACUUGACAGAUUCUG
rnacentral:misc_RNA from 1 species